UUUGGAUCAAACUAAUAAAAAUUAAAUACUCAUAUUAAAAGCUUUCUCCCUAGCCUUAUCUAGGGAGUUAGUUCCCUAUAAAAUAAAGCUAAACAGAAAUUUAGAACUACAAAGAUGGAGGAAGGAGAGAAAGCUGAAGAAGUUGUGGAGCUUGGUGUGAUUUUCCAUUUGAAGCAAUGCUCUAUUUAUAGGUAUGGGAGUUGCUCUUUGUUGCAUCAAUUGUAUUUUGCCAUGAAUAAAUAAUUUCUCACCACUUGCCGCCAGCCCACAAUCAGAUAGCCAUACAUUUGUUUAUUACCUUCCAAUUGCCUUUAUCUAUACAACAAUGUUGCAAACUCCUCUUCUUUAUUGGCUAUAUCCCAUUUUCUUAUUCAUUUGUUAGCUUGCUUAAAAUCUUGGUGCGGCACUCCAAGCUUUAUUUUCAAUAUAUGCUAGUUAUUGCUUCUUCUUUUCUAGGUUGGGCAACACCUCAAGCGUGAGUUUGCUUAUUUUUCUCUGGUGAGCAUGAAAAAUGUACCUAAAAACAGAAAACUGAAUAAAAAUAAUAAAAUAAAUUUAAAUAAGGCACUAACAAUAUAAAUUUAGGGAUGACAUAGGUAAUAAUUAUGUGUUUUUCACUUUAUGAGUAAUAUUAAUAGUGUAAUAUUGCUUCUCAUUUUUCUUUGUAAACAGCAGCGUAUUUUGGGACACUAUAACUUCAGAAUUGUUUGGUUGUGUUGAACAAUAACCCUGUCAAAUAUUUUUAUAUUUACUGUUUUAUAAUCCUUAUAUAAAACAAUAAAGGAUGGGUAGUUCAGAUCAGAAGAUAACUUUAGGCAUUGAUAUUUAGAUUUGAUAAUCUUUUUCAUGUAGCCCUUGUUAUAACGUAAUGAGCAUAGUAGAUUGAUAUAAUCUUAUUGUGUUGCGUCAUAAAUCAAACCAUGGUCAAUUGCUCGGUUUGGAUCAAUACGACCUGCUCCCUUUGCUAGAGGUGAAGCGAGUUGAAGAUCACUAUCUAAAAUCAGGCUAAAAUUAUUAUCUAAACGAUUUGCAGUGAUUAUGAUGUGCUCUUAGCAUAAGUGCAGCCACCCCUGCAACAUGAGAGUGUUAACUCACAAUUGUAUGUGUCAAUUAGUAGUAUAACAAGACAAGUACGAGGUCGUACCCACGAGGACUGAGAAGUUAAACUUAAUUACGUACUUAGAUUAUCCAAUUCAAGAAAAACAGGAUGUUAAAUCUAAAAUAGAAUUUCAAGUGAGAGUGAUUGUGAUUGUGAAAACAAAUUAAGCAAAAUGAAAUUGCAAACGAAAGCAAAGUAAACAAGUGUAACAAAAAGUGGUCUUAAGGGUUGGAAAACAUAUUUGGAGACUAGGGCAUUUUAUUCACCAUAACAAUUCAAUUUUAGAUUGUAAGGAUUAAGUGAUAAGUCUAAUUUAGAUUCAAAGAUUGAUUCUAGCUAAAAUAUGAUUAAGCCAUGGUGUUUGGUUCUAACCUUGUAUUCCUAAUUCUCUAAUUAAGUCUUUGUUGUCAACCCUAAAUCAAGCAUUAUAAAUUCAUUAAACAUAGAAGAAUGUUUUAAACAACCAAGCAUGUAUCUAAUCCUUGUUGUCAAAUGUCUAUACAUACUCUUCCUAUUCAUAAUUCAAUUUGAAUUAUGGUAUAUGAUGUCUACUCUUAAUUCCAAACAAGAUAGCUAACAUACAAGUUUUAAUGGUGAUCAAUCAUUCAAACAAGCAUAUUAACAUAUUGUUGUGCGUAGCGGAAGCGGAUUGCACUGGGUAGACAAUACGAAACCAUUAAAACAACAAGACAAAUAGCAAAAUAGCAAAAUCCAAGAGACACGAGGAUUUAUACUGGUUCAACCUGUGUGUAGCCUACAUCCAGUUCGAAGAUGGCAAGAACAUCUGCUAGUAUCCCAAAGGAGAUUAUAAACAAAGGAGAUUAAACACUCUCACCUAGUCUAAGAAUUACAGAGUUUAACUCUCACAACCCAAAUCCCAAAUACACCCAAGUUACUCAGACACAGAUAUUAAAAAAGAAAGAGAGGCUACAAAGAUAUGAAGAACACUUAUAAACAAGGAAGUUCUUCACAUCACCAUCUCUUCCUCACACAAAAGGUGCAGCAGCAAAGACACCAUGGUGCAUACAGCUUGCCCCAUGACAAGAGCACUCUUUCACCUGUUGUUCUCACUAAAACUGCACACACCUUUCUCUCUGCCAAGCCUUCAUUAUAUAACCAAGAAUUUGGUCCAAUAGUUGGAUGAGCACCUUCAAAGUCGUCCACAAAACAAAGGACAUUAAUGCACCGAAACAUCUCAACCACCAGCAUUGGAAAAGAAACCAGCCGCUCCUCUUUGGUGCGGCACAGUGCGGCACACCUGCAUGCACCUCUUCUGCUGCCAAGGAAGUCCCUGAUUACGCAUAGCUCUAGUUGGCUGCACAAAAAACCCAAGAGCCAAAAAUAGUAGCAAUAAUGCAAGAUUAUUCUACUUCUAUCUCUGAAGCUCACAGCUGUCACUCCUUGCAAUCAAUAUGAUUGCCACAUAGCCCAAGUGGCUUAAUAAAUAUAGUAGCCAAUCCGUGAAUCAAGGGAUAAACAAUCACAUGCAAAUAGUGAUCAAGAACAUGGCUUUUGUUCUUUUUGACAAAGGCUGACUUCAGCAUGAUUCCCUUCCUUU
rnacentral:lncRNA from 1 species